rnacentral:rRNA from 1 species
GAUGAACGCUGGCGGCGUGCCUAAUACAUGCAAGUCGAGCGAACAGACGAGGAGCUUGCUCCUCUGACGUUAGCGGCGGACGGGUGAGUAACACGUGGAUAACCUACCUAUAAGACUGGGAUAACUUCGGGAAACCGGAGCUAAUACCGGAUAAUAUAUUGAACCGCAUGGUUCAAUAGUGAAAGACGGUUUUGCUGUCACUUAUAGAUGGAUCCGCGCCGCAUUAGCUAGUUGGUAAGGUAACGGCUUACCAAGGCAACGAUGCGUAGCCGACCUGAGAGGGAGAUCGGCCACACUGGAACUGAGGCACGGUCCAGACUCCUACAGGAGGACACAGUAGGGAAUCUUCCGCAAUGGGCGAAAGCCUGACGGAGCACAGCCGCGUGAGUGAUGAAGGUCUUCGGAUCGUAAAACUCUGUUAUUAGGGAAGAACAAAUGUGUAAGUAACUAUGCACGUCUUGACGGUACCUAAUCAGAAAGCCACGGCUAACUACGUG